AACUAAACCAAUCUACACCAGCAAACUUAACAGACCAUCAAAAAUACGCAGAAGCCUGACCCCUUCUAAAGAUCCCGGCACCGGGUCUAUUCCAGCACCAACGCCAGCCUCUCAGUACCGACUGGUUCGACCGGACAGGCUGCACACCCAACAAGUUGUGAAUCGCCAUUCUAUGAACGAACUAAAGUUUUACAAAGGAAGUGAAUCUCCUGAGAAUGGGGAAGUUCAAAUCACAGGGAAUGGUCUAGUUGUCAGCCAAGCUGCUCCUAACACAAUGUGGAAUAUGCAAGCGUCCCAUUCCUGGAAUCUCAAAGAGGGCCCAGUCAAUUUUUUAAACACUCCAAGGAUUCUGGAGAUGGAUAUCAACCGGAUGCUGAUUGGCCAGAACAA
rnacentral:sRNA from 1 species